GGACCCGUGGCACAGUGGUAGCGCGUGAGAUUCCAGAUCCUCAAGGUCAUCCGUUCAAUCCGGGUCGGGUUCA
rnacentral:tRNA from 1 species